UACGGGGGGAGCAAGCGUUGUUCGGAUUUACUGGGCGUAAAGGGCGCGUAGGCGGCCAGCACAAGUCAGUUGUGAAAUCUCCGGGCUUAACUCGGAAAGGUCAACUGAUACUGUGCGGCUAGAGUGCAGAAGGGGCAACUGGAAUUCUCGGUGUAGCGGUGAAAUGCGUAGAUAUCGGGAGGAACACCAGUGGCGAAGGCGGAUCUCUGGGCCUGUCCUGACGCUGAGGCGCGAAAGCUAGGGGAGCGAACAGG
rnacentral:rRNA from 1 species